rnacentral:rRNA from 1 species
GGGUGAGUAACACGUGGGUAACCUGCCUGUAAGACUGGGAUAACUCCGGGAAACCGGAGCUAAUACCGGAUAGUUCCUUGAACCGCAUGGUUCAAGGAUGAAAGACGGUUUCGGCUGUCACUUACAGAUGGACCCGCGGCGCAUUAGCUAGUUGGUGGGGUAAUGGCUCACCAAGGCGACGAUGCGUAGCCGACCUGAGAGGGUGAUCGGCCACACUGGGACUGAGACACGGCCCAGACUCCUACGGGAGGCAGCAGUAGGGAAUCUUCCGCAAUGGACGAAAGUCUGACGGAGCAACGCCGCGUGAGUGAUGAAGGUUUUCGGAUCGUAAAGCUCUGUUGUUAGGGAAGAACAAGUGCGAGAGUAACUGCUCGCACCUUGACGGUACCUAACCAGAAAGCCACGGCUAACUACGUGCCAGCAGCCGCGGUAAUACGUAGGUGGCAAGCGUUGUCCGGAAUUAUUGGGCGUAAAGGGCUCGCAGGCGGUUUCUUAAGUCUGAUGUGAAAGCCCCCGGCUCAACCGGGGAGGGUCAUUGGAAACUGGGAAACUUGAGUGCAGAAGAGGAGAGUGGAAUUCCACGUGUAGCGGUGAAAUGCGUAGAGAUGUGGAGGAACACCAGUGGCGAAGGCGACUCUCUGGUCUGUAACUGACGCUGAGGAGCGAAAGCGUGGGGAGCGAACAGGAUUAGAUACCCUGGUAGUCCACGCCGUAAACGAUGAGUGCUAAGUGUUAGGGGGUUU